GGCUAACCCAGUUCAUUUUUUAUCACUCAAAUGUGUGUCCAGAAUCAUGGCAAGAAUAAUGAAGAUCAGAUUAUUACUAGCAGAAGAGCUGCCCACCAGAUGUCAACCAGAAAGAGCACUGCAACAAGGUAAUUACAAUUAUAAAGGGCUAAGAAGUCAUCUGGAUGAAGUGAUUUUCACAGUCUCCUGCUUAACUGCGAUUGUAAUCUUGCACCUGCCCAUGGAUUACAUAGAUGGGAAGCCUGUACCAGCCGUUGUUUUCCAUGGCCAUCCUCAUAUUUUUCAUGCCUUCCUUGUCUGCCUUAUGGGUUCUUGUUAUGGCUCCGUUUGCUCCAUGUAUCUCCGAGAAAGAAAGCCCAAGAUUGCCAAGUUUUACUACUUUUUUGCACUUGUUUCCAGUGUGUUGGCCCUGGCAAUAUUCUUCUGGGCUGCUGUUCCUGCUAGCCUCUUGUGGCUGGCUUCUAAAUUUUGUUGAAGGAUGUUGGCAAGCUACUCUUCUUAGUUCUCUCUCCACACACACACACACACACACA
rnacentral:misc_RNA from 1 species